rnacentral:lncRNA from 1 species
CCCCCCCCCCCCACCGUGACGCCGUUUUGCAGCCACCGCAGCGGCCAAAGGCGCAGCCACGGAGGUGAGGACGGGGCGGCCCCAUAGAUCCGCCCCAUAGCUCUGCCCCAUAGAUGCCCCAUAGCUGCCCUAUAGCGCCCCAUAGCGCCCCAUAGCGCCCCAUAGACCCCAUUCAUCCUCCAUCCAUUCCCAUUGCCCUCCAUCUCUGCCCCAUAGAGCUCCAUAUCUGCCCCAUAGAGCCCCAUAGCGCCCCAUAGCUCUGCCCCAUAGAUGCCCCAUAGCCGCCCUAUAGCGCCCCAUAGCGCCCCAUAACCCCAAAGACCCCAUUCAUCCUCCAUCCAUUCCCAUUGCCUCAUAUCGGCCCCAUAGAGCUCCAUAUCUGCCCCAUAGAGCCCCAUAGCGCCCCAUAGCUCUGCCCCAUAGAUGCCCCAUAGCCGCCCCAUAGCGCCCCAUAGCGCCCCAUAACCCCACAGCCCCCAUUCAUCCUCCAUCCAUUCCCAUUGCCUUCCAUCUCUGCCCCAUUGAGCCCCAUAUCGCCCCAUAGCUCUGCCCCAUAGAUGCCCCAUAGCCGCCCCAUAGCGCCCCAUAUCCCCAUAGCCCCCAUUCAUUCUCCAUCCAUUCCUAUUGCCUUCCAUCUCUGCCCCAUAGAGCCCCAUCUCUGCCCCAUAGAGCCCCAUAGCGCCCCAUAGCUCUGCCCCAUAGAUGCCCCAUAGCUGCCCUAUAGCGCCCCAUAACCCCAUAGCCCCCAUUCAUCCUCCAUCCAUUCCCACUGCCCUCCACCUCUGCACCCCAUAACGCCAUCUCUGCCCUAUAGAGCCCCAUAGAUCUGCCCCAUAGAUGCCCCAUAGCCGCCCCAUAGCGCCCCAUAGCGCCCCAUAACCCCAUAGACCCCAUUCAUCCUCCAUCCAUUCCCAUUGCCCUCCAUCUCUGCCCAAUAGAGCCCUAUAGAGCCCCAUAGAGUCCCAUAGAUCUGCCCCAUAGAUGCCCAUAGCGCCCUAUAGCGCCCCAUAGCGCCCCAUAACCCCAAAGACCCCAUUCGUCCUCUAUCCAUUCCCAUUGCCUCAUAUCAGCCCACGUCUCUGCCCCAUAGAGCUCCAUAUCUGCCCCAUAGAGCCCCAUACCUCUGCCCCAUAGCUCUGCCCCAUUGAUGCCCCAUAGCUGCCCUAUAGCGCCCCAUAGCGCCCCAUAACCCCAUAACCCCCAUUCAUUCUCCAUCCAUUCCCACUGUCCUCCAUCUCUGCACCCCAUAACACCAUCUCUGCCCCAUAGAGCCCCAUAGAGCCCCAUAGCUCUGCCCCAUAGAUGCCCUAUAGUCACCCUAUAGCGCCCCAUAGCGCCCCAUAGCCCCCAUUCAUCCUCCAUCCAUUCCCAUUGCCGCACAUUUCUGCCCCAUAGCUGCCCCAUAGCGCCCCAUAGCGCCAUAUCUGCCCCAUAGCACCUCACAGCUCUGCCCCAUAGCUUUGCCCCAUAGCCCGAUCUAUGGGGCUGGAGCCAAUCUAUGGGGCUGGAACCCGAUAUGGGGCCGAUCUAUGGGGCUGGAGGCAACCUAUGGGGCAGGAGCCAAUCUAUGGGGCCAGGACCCGCUAUGGGGCCGAUCUAUGGGGCUGAAAAUGUCUAUGGGGCUGAUCUAUGGGGCUGGAGCCAAUCUAUGGGGCUGGGACAGUCUAUGAGACCAAUCUAUGGGGCCAGGACCCACUAUGGGGCCAAUCUAUGGGGCCAGGACCCACUAUGGGGCCAAUCUAUGGGGCUGGAACCCACUAUGGGGCCAAUCUAUGGGGCUGGGACCUGCUAUGGGGCCGAUCUAUGGGGCUGGGGCCGAUGUGUGGGGCCGGAAUGCCCCAUAGGUGUCCCCUUCCAUCCCCCCCCCCCCCCAAUUUCCGCCCCACGGAUUCUUUGCUGCUAUUUGGGGCUCCUCCACCUGCGCUGCCCCACAGCUGUUGUGGGGCGGGGGGGCGGGGGGGGGGGGGGGGGAACUUCCGCCCACCCCAUGGGGCCCCACAGCGCCGCCCCAUAGAUGGGAACCGGGGGGGGGGGGGGGGGGGGGGGGCACUGGGAGGGGCUGCCCCAUAGAUCUGCCCCAUAGAUCAGCACGAGAGAUGGCACAGGUAUGGCUCUGCCCCAUAGGUGGCACUGGGGGGGGCUCUGCCCCAUAGAUGGCACAGGUAUGGCUCUGCCCCAUAGAUCUGCCCCAUAGAUGGCACUGGGGGGGGGGUCUGCCCUAUAGAUCUGCCCCAUAGAUCCGUCCCAUGGAUGGCACAGGUAUGGCUUUGCCCCAUAGAUCGGCCCCAUAGAUCUGCCCCAUAGAUGGCACUGGGGGGGGCUCUGCCCUAUAGAUCGGCCCCAUAGAUCUGCCCCAUAGAUCCGUCCCAUGGAUGGCACAGGUAUGGCUCUGCCCCAUAGAUCUGUCCCAUAGAUGAGUGCAAUAGAUGGUAACUGGGAUGGCUCUGCCCCAUAGAUCUGCCCCAUAGGUUACACUGAGGGAGCUCUGCCCCAUAGAUGGCACUGGGGGGGCUCUGCCCCAUAGGUGGCACUGAGGGGACUCUGUCCCAUAGAUUCGCCCCAUAGAUUUCACUGGGGGGGCUCUGCCCCAUAGAUCUGCCCCAUAGAUCCGCUUCAUAGAUGGUAACUGAGGGGGCUCUGCCCCAUAGCUCCACCCCAUAGGUGGCACAGGUAUGGCUCUGCCCCAUAGAUCUGCCCCAUAGAUUUCACUGGGGGGGCUCUGCCCCAUAGAUCUGCCCCAUAGAUGGCACUGAGGGGGCUCUGCCCCAUAGAUCUGCCCCACAGAUGGCCCUGGGAGGCUCUGCUGCACAACUCAGCCCCACAACCCCAUAAGCAGCCCCAUAACCACCCCACAACCCCAUAACCCCACUCCAUCACCCCAUAACCACCCCAUAACCCCACCCUAUAGCCCCAUAACCCCAUUCCAUCAACCCAUCACCACCCCAUCACCGCCCCUAUAGCCACCCCAUAACCCCAUAACCCCAUAACCCCACCCUAUAGCCCCAUAACUCCACUCCAUCACCCCAUAACCACGCCAUAACCACCCCAUAACCCCACCCAUAACCCCAUAAUCCCACCCUAUAGCCCCAUAACCCCGCUCCAUCACCCCAUAACCACCCCAUAACCCCAUCACCACCCCAUAACCACCCUAUAACCCCCCCAUAGCCACCCCAUAACCCCAUCAGAACCCCAUAUCCACCCCAUCGCCACCACAUAUCCACCCCAUAACCCCAUAACCCCCCCAUAGCCACCCCAUAGCACCCCAUAACCACUCCAUAACCACCCCAUAGCACCCCAUAACACCCCAUAACCCUACCCUAUAGCCCCAUAACCCCCCCCACAACCCACCCCCAUAACCCCCCCACCCCAUAACCCCACCCUAUAGCCCCAUAACCCCCCCAACCCCCCCACCCCACAAACCCCCCACC